GAUGAACGCUGGCGGCGUGCCUAAUACAUGCAAGUCGAGCGAACAGGCGAGGCGCUUGCUCCUUCGUCGUUAGCGGCGCGCGGGAGUGUCACGCGUAUGUCCCCUACCUAUCAGUCUGGGAUAACUUCGGGAAACCGGCGCUAAUACCGGAUAAUAUUUCGCACCGCAGGGUUCGAUAGUGAAAGUCGGCGUUGCUGGCACUUAUAGAUGGACCUGCGCCGGAUUGGCUAGUUGGUGAGGUAAUGGGUUAUCAAGGCAACGAUGCGUAGACGACGUGAGCGGGUGAUCGGCCGCACGGGAGGGGGGACACGCACAAUACUCCUACGGGAGGCAGCAGUAGGGUAUCGGCCGCAGUAGGCGAAAGCCUGGCGGAGCAGGGCGGCGUGAGAUAUGACGGUCUCGGGAUCGUAAAACUCUGCUAUUAGGGAAGAACAAACGUGUAAGUAGAUGUGGACGGCUUGACGGUAACUAAUCAGAAAGCCACGGCUAACUACGUG
rnacentral:rRNA from 1 species